rnacentral:rRNA from 1 species
CCUACGGGUGGCAGCAGUGGGGGAUAUUGCACAAUGGGGGGAACCCUGAUGCAGCGACGCCGCGUGGGUGAAGGAGUGCUUCGGCAUGUAAAGCCCUAUCGGCAGGGAAGAAGCAAGACGGUACCUGACUAAGAAGCCCCGGCUAACUACGUGCCAGCAGCCGCGGUAAUACGUAGGGGGCAAGCGUUAUCCGGAUUUACUGGGUGUAAAGGGAGCGUAGACGGCAGCACAAGUCUGGAGUGAAAUCCCGGGGCUUAACCCCGGAACUGCUUUGGAAACUGUGCGGCUGGAGUGCAGGAGGGGUAAGCGGAAUUCCUAGUGUAGCGGUGAAAUGCGUAGAUAUUAGGAGGAACACCGGUGGCGAAGGCGGCUUACUGGACUGUAACUGACGUUGAGGCUCGAAAGCGUGGGGAGCAAACAGGAUUAGAUACCCUUGUAGUC